rnacentral:misc_RNA from 1 species
UACGACCUCCACUUGAUUCAAUAGGCCUUAUUACUUGUUCAAUCAGACAUUCCCAAUCUGCUUUAAGUACUCUUAUUUGUGCUAAGUUAUUUCCAUCUCCAGGUUGAUUAAUUGGUGCAUGCCUAUUAGACCUUGGCCAGAAGGAAUAAAUUAGAUCACCAUGGGCCCUCAAAGACAGAGAAACAGCACGACCUCCACUUGAUUCAAUAGUUGAACUUGAUGGUUCUCUUCUUAAUUUAUGCAUUUCCAUCACCAU